GGCUGCGGCGGCAGGGGUCACCGGGCGAGCCGGAGGCUGUCCCGUGGCGGCCGAGCGCCGCACUGCUGGCUCCUGAGGGGCGGCUCGGGCCCCUAGGGCCCCGGGCUGGUCGGCGGGGCCGCGGGAGCAGGGCGGGCUGCGCGCCGGAUCUGGCCCUGCCCUGCGGCCCGCCCUCGGCAUUCCGGGCCUCUGGACCACGCGCCACCUCCAACCCCCUAAAGGCUGAGGGUCUGGUAGCCAUGUGUGGACCCUAAAGCGCCUUGUAGUCUUUUGAAGCGCUUUGACAUCUCGGAAGGGCUCUGUACUGCAAACUAAAUCGAAGCGCUUUGUAAUCCCGGAAGCGCUUUGACAUCUCCCUAGUAGCGCUGUGCAAACUGAAGCGCUUGGUGAUCGCGGAAGCACGUUGUGGGGUUUGGAAACCAAACCGACGCCCUUAGUAAAUCUUGGAUCGUUUUGACUAAGGCGAAGCGCUUUGGAAUCGCGAACAGUAGAAGCGCGUUGGUAUCUCCGAAACCUUGAGAACUGUGAUGGGCAGUGGAAAGAACGGGGAAAGGUGCCCAUGGCGUCGGAGCGGCGCAAGGUCAAGUACCACUGGAGCAGCACUUCGGAAGGGUGUCCCCGCAAGCGCAGCUGCCUCAGGGAGCCCGGUGAUGUGGCCCCCUCCAGCCGGUCAGCUCCUAGCUCUGCGUCGCGUUCAGGAGGCACCAGCAGCCCCAAGCGCCUGAAAGCCCAGAAGGAGGACGAUGUGGCCUGCACCCCGAGGUUGCCCUGGGGCUCAUCCUGCCGCAGAAAUUCCUCCUCCUCCUCCUCCUCUUCCUCCUCCUCGCAUUCCUCUGGCCCAGGUGUGGGCGGGGCUGCCCCCAAAGGCUGCCUGAUUCGGAGCACACGGGGAUUCCUUUCAUCGUCCAGAGGAUCCCCUCUUCGCUCUGCCAACCCCUCUCCGGAAGAAAUGGCUUCUCUAGAGGAGGAAGCCUGCAGCCUUAAGGUUGAUUCGAAAGAUAGUUCUCGUAACUCCACAAACUCUGAAUUUGCAGCCGAAGCUGAGGGUCAGAAUGACACAAUUGAGGAACCAAACAAGGUCCAGAAAAGGAAGAGGGAUAGGUUUCGAGACCAAGGCUCUACAAUGAUCUACCUGAAGGCUAUCCAGGGCAUCUUGGGAAAGUCGAUGCCAAAAAGGAAGGGAGAGGCUUCCACUGGGGCCACACCAAACACAAGGGAGCGUCCCAGCCGUGGAGAAGGGCCAGCCAGGAGUGCCACUGUGUCUCCUCCUCAGAAAGGGAAAGAGUCAGCCCCAGAGGUAAGAGCAGAGGAGGAAAAGGCUGUGCUGGAGAGGACCAGCUUCUGCGACAGGAGAGUGGUGAUAGACCCUCAGGAGAAACCCAGCGAGGAGACACCUGGUGACCGAAGGACAGUCAUUGACAAGCAUUCUCCACCUCUGGAGUUUUUGGAUGACUCUGACUCUCAUUUAGAAAGCCAGAAGCCUAAAGAAAGGGAGGUGGUGAUAGAGCGCACCUCUUCAGGAAGUGACUGGUCUGAUGUAGACGAAGUCUCCACAGUCCGAUUCUCUCAGGAGGAGCCCGGCUCGCUGAAACCCUCCACAGUUCCAGAGCCUUCUGCCUUCCCCACUGACUAUGUCAUGUACCCGGCUCAUUUGUACAGUAGUCCGUGGUGUGACUACGCCAGCUAUUGGACCAGCAGCCCCAAGCCUUGCGGCUACCCCUCUGUGGGCGCUGGCAGUGACACGCUGCAGGCAGGGCGGAGCAACCGGGGCCUCCUGAGUGAUUGUCCCCCUAACUCUGCAGCGACUUCCCAGAAUACUUCCAGAGACCAGGAGGCAACAGAGGAAGGCACAUCCCAGAACUCCCGUUCAUUUCAUUUCUCCAGAAGCUCGGAAGAAGAGGUGAAGGAGAAAAGAGCACUCCAGGAGGAGAUGGCACCACGUCCCUGCGGAGGCCACGCAUCCAGCUCCCUGCCAAGGAGCCAUCGGGGGUCAGGCCUAGAAGAGGGUUUCAUCGAUACCCACUGUCACCUGGACAUGCUGUAUUCCAAGUUGUCUUUCAAAGGGUCCUUUACCAAGUUCAGAAAAAUUUAUAGCAGCUCCUUCCCUAAGGAGUUUCAGGGCUGCAUCUCUGACUUCUGUGAUCCUCGGACACUGACUGAUUGCCUGUGGGAGGAGCUCUUGAAAGAGGAUCUGGUUUGGGGGGCCUUUGGCUGUCAUCCUCAUUUUGCACGUUACUACAGUGAGAGUCAAGAAAGAAAUCUUUUGCAAGCCUUAAGGCACCCCAAGGCUGUGGCAUUUGGGGAAAUGGGCUUGGAUUACUCGUAUAAGUGCACCACGCCUGUCCCAGAACAGCACAAGGUGUUUGAGAGACAGCUGCAGCUGGCCGUAUCUCUGAAGAAGCCCUUGGUGAUCCACUGCCGAGAAGCUGACGAAGAUCUGCUGAACAUCAUGAAAAAAUUUGUGCCCUCAGACUACAAGAUCCAUAGGCACUGCUUCACUGGCAGCUACCCAGUCAUCGAGCCUCUGCUGAAGCACUUCCCCAACAUGUCUGUGGGCUUCACAGCAGUCCUGACUUACUCCUCAGCCUGGGAGGCCCGGGAAGCUCUGAAGCAGAUCCCGCUGGAGAGAAUCAUUGUGGAAACGGACGCUCCCUACUUCCUGCCCCGACAGGUUCCCAAAAGCCUCUGCCAGUAUGCCCACCCAGGCCUGGCCUUGCAUACGGUCCGAGAGAUUGCGAGGGUCAAAGAUCAGCCGCUCUCCCACACCUUGGCCAUCCUGCGUGAGAACACCAGCCGCCUCUACAAUCUUUAAGCAGAGAGGGUGCAGUCAGGAGAAAAAGGACAACCAGUGGCCUGACAGAAGAUGGGCUGGUUUGCUCUCUGCCUGUAUGUCCCAGGUCAGGGAUGUGUCUGAAGAGAGCCCCUUGGAACGGAGGAAACCAGGACAGGAUGUUUGCCUCGAAGCCCCGUCCUAAAGCUCUACUUCUGGCUCGGGGGUGGGGUGGGGAGCAGCGUGGAACAAGGCGCGGGUAGGGUCUACCUCCCGGGGCAGUCAGUGACGCAGGAAGGGGCUGAGAGGAGGGCGCAGUGAGUUCGCCACUCCAAGUCCUGGUGCUCUGCAGCUUGCGACUUUGAGCAGUCUUCACAGACCCUCUCCUACUCGUCUGAGCACCUGUGUGUGUGUGUGUAAUUCCGCUCCUGGGUCUCCGAUCUAAAGAUGAACUCCCAAGUGGGAAACCUCCUCUGGGGGACGUUAACUGGAGCCUUGUCUCGGAGGUUUAUGGUCCUUCAACCGAGAAGUCCUCCCCUUCUUUCCCUGGAUAAUGCUUCGGUUCGGCUGUCCCCGCUGCUGCCUCAGCUCUGCUUCAGCAUGAGUGGAAGACCUUGGCUGCUCGUCUCACUGGUUCUUCUGCCAUCGGUCUGGAGGGGCGGGGGACGCUCACUGUCCGGGGGAAGUCCUGGCCAAUGGGGAUCUGGACAGACUGGGGGACUCCAGGAGGAGGUCUUUGGGAGGAAGAGGACCCCUGAGAAGGUGUUUCUGCUUACCGAUGCCCCCAGGGCUACGGCUCGGUUGUGUUCAUCUGGUAAGAGUUCAGUUUGCAGCAGAUGCGACCUGCUAGUCUGCUGUUGGGACGUCCCACCUGCCUGUUGCUCCAUUUUUGCCCCAUUCUCCUGGAACACUGGACCAAGAAUACUUCUGUUUCAUCCCAUGUAACAGCCCCUUAUGUGCCCCACCCGGGUUGAGAGGGGUUUUGCUGCUGAAAAAUGAAGGAUGAGCAGGUAGAAGAACAGGGGUCCACACUUCCUUGUGCAUGCAGCCUUCUGCGGUGAGUGGCCUGACCUUUUACAAAGCUAAGAGCACCACCCCACAUUACAGCUGAGGAGCCCUCCGCUCACAUACUCUUCCUGAGUCGUGCCUCUGACAGCACCCACUCUGGAGUUGAGCUGGAUUGGGACUCAAAGGCUAGCUUUACCACUUGGCAGUGGACAGCCCUGGGCAGGUCUUCCACCUUCAGUGCCAGUUUCCUCAUUGGUAAGUUGGGGAUAAAGGCCUACACUGGUCUGUUGUGUUGCAACAUAGGACGGCUCCAGUGUAGUACCCGCUCGCGAUAGGUUUCAGUAUAAAUUAUACCUGCUGUUGUGACGACUGAUUCAGGUGAGGGUCUCAAGGCUUCUGUUAACAGGUGAUACUAGGUUCAGGGUUGACCAGGACCAGAACCAUGGUCUCCGGCACUGACAGGGUCCAUAAUCUGCAUGAAGUGUACCCACUUUCCGGGCCAGUCUCCUAAUUGUGGGUAUUUGGUUAAUACUGCCCUGUGUUUGCAUGGCACGUUAUGGGUCACCUCCAUGCAUUAGUUCAUCCAAGUCUUCUCUGUAAGGCAGACUUGUAUUCCCACUUUCUGGAAGAGGACAUGUGUUCAGAGGACACACACCCCCCUCACCGGAGCCCACGUCCAGUGUGACUGGAAUCACAAGGAUGUUACACAGAUACCAGCUUUGUGUAUGUCGGCUGGGGGUUCAGCCAGCCUACAGGGACCAGGGUCUUGGCGAAUGUUGUUCUAAUACACUGACAAACAGGAGUGAACAUGAGCUUUUUAGGGAGAGGUUGGGGUAAUGCAGGAAGAAUUAUAAGCAAUAUGAAUUUAUUUAACUAUUUUGGAAACAAAACCCCCCAAAUAAUGCCUGAAACCCAAAAAGUACAUAAAAAUGGCCAAAAAUAUUUUAAAAUAAUAGAUUUGAAGAUCAUUUGUAGCUUUUUUCUCCUAACAUGAGUGCUUUCAGCAGGACAGUAAAUUACAAACCAUAUCAAAUCAUGUUAAGGCAGAUGAUCUAUCUGGUUGCACUUGUAACUACUCCUGGGGAAGGAAUCUUGUUGGAGCUAUUCCUCCCAGCGGUUUGGUCAGUUGGUCCAGGAAAGGGCAGUCCUGGAGGCAGCAGGAGGGGAGCUGAGCCUUUCCUGUCUUGUCACUGCUCGUUCUGCUGGCCCUCUGUGACGGAAGUGGACACAGAACCUUGGCCCUUGUUGACAUCACUGAUGCACACCCACUGCCCGUCGACAGACUCCUUCCACAGGGUCACCUGCAAGCCAGUGCACACAGCCUGUUACAGGUCUGCACCCUUCCCUCUGCUGUCCUUACCUUCCCAGAUCUUCAGCAAGACGGUGACAAAGGAUGUUUCUGAUUUAGCUCCCCCUCACAGGAAGAACAAAUAUUCAUGAACAAGAAGCCACUGAGCAAAUCCUAGAAGAUAGGAAUGUGGCUGAAGCACCCCCUGCCAGACCAAAGAGACCAACUCCUUGUACCAGAAGGAUAGGCUGGAAGGCUACAUGCUGACUGCAUGGCCCCCACCCAGGUUGACUCAACACCACGUCCAACUUCUGUUUUUCCAGGGGGAAAGGAGCACAGGGGUGACAUCCAGUCACUCAGCGCUGUAAGUCAUGGCCUCGUGGGAUCCCUCAUUCUGGGCUCUGCCCCAUGGGGACUGCAGGCACAUCUGUGGGUUUCAACUACUGGGAAUCUGAUGGUGACUAAGUGGGGUUCUUAAGUGGUCAACACCACAGGGGAGGCACGGUCCACCUCCCGGUCACCAGGGCCAAGUGAACCCAACUGCCCUCCUCCUCUAAGUCCGAGUCUAUGCCAAUGGCUUGAAUAAAUCAUUGGUCCCAAGUGAGAUAGAAUCAUCAUGCCCGUGCACUGGGUGGGCUUCCCGGAACCGGCACUGUGUUAUUAACAGACCAAGUUCCUAGCUGCAGAGCCCAAGCAGUAGUCCCAUCCAGUAUCUCUGCUCAUCUACAGCACCAAGCUGGGGGUCCAAUCUGCCCCAGGGAAUGCUCUACAGGGCAGUUCUGCCAGCUCUUGAACCUGGUCUGCCCCCACCCAGGCAGAAAGGCUGAGUCACAGCCCCACUUGCUGCAGUUCCUGGCUCUUGGUCUCUCAUCCAGAAAGCCAAUUUACAGACUCUUGCAGAGAGCCCAGUCCUGACUGUAGGAAGCCUGACCAGAGAAUCCAGGUCACAGUGACACCCACUAGCUUCACUUGGGCAGGGAACUCGAGUCAGCAGUCCUACCUGCUGUUCUCACCCAGUGGAAUACCCUCUAUGCUCAGAACUCAAACAGUUGCUUCACUAAAAAACAGACCCUAACAGCAGCCACACCUGUCCAAGGACCAGGAAUGACCAGAAACCCAACUGCGCUGACCGGUCAAACUGUCUGCCAAAGUGAGCCUGCAACGUUUGGAAGAAGGGACCACUUAACUCCAAUAUCACAGAAAGCCAGGUAAAUGUGACACAACCAAAUGAAACUAAUAGAGCUCUACAAUGGACUCUAAAGACAGGAAGACCUAUGAACUGCCAAGAGGCCCUAAAUAAACAGGGCUACAAAAGACAUGUCAGAAUCAUCAAAAGUCAAAGAAUUUUAAGAGCAGCUAGAAAAAAAAAAGGUUACAUAUAAGGGAACCCCCAUAAGACUGUGAGAUUUCUCAAUAGAAGCUUUUCAGGCCAGAAGAAAAUGGGAUGACACAAAAUACUCAAAGCAAGAAAAACUAUUAACCAAGACUACUCUACCAGGCAAAAGUGUCCUUCGGCAAUGGAUAGACUUUCUUGGACAAACAAAAGCAGAGGGAACUCAUCACCGCUACAUCUGCCUUACAAGAAAUGCUAAAGGGAGUUGAGUAUAAAUAAAAGGAUGCUCAUUAACACUAUACAAGGCAGCAUAAAACUUACUGGUAAUGAUAAAUAAUUAAAGUUGGAUUCUGUAAUAUGGUGAUGUUAGUGCAUAAUUCACUUCUAGCUCUAGUUUAAAAGAUAAUGUAGUAAGAAAUAACCAUUGUAGUUAAAUAACCAUAACUACAAUAACCUGUUAUUAGUUACACAUUAUAAAAUAUAUAAAUUGUAACAUCAAUAACCUAAAAUGUGAGGGGGAGAAGUCAAAGUGUUCAGAUGUUAUUUUAAAACAGAGUGUUUUAAAAUGUCUUAUGUAAACCUUAUAGCCACAAGGGAAAAACCUGUGGUAAUAUUAGACCAAAGAACAUGACAAGUCAAAGCAUACUGAUACCAUAAAACUUCAAAACACAAAAAAAGAAGGAACAAUGUAUCAAGAAAACCAUAAGAAAAUAAACAAAAUGGCAAUUGUGUAAGGCCUUAUUAAUUAAUACUUACUUCAAAUGUAAAUGGUUUAAACUCUCCCGGGGAGACAACACCUGGCUGAAUGAAUAAAAAAAAAACCCAAAAACACAAGAUCCAACAAUAUGCUU